rnacentral:misc_RNA from 1 species
GGCUGCUUGGCGACUUCUACAAAGCUCACUAACGCUUCAUUUCUCGUUCUAUCCGCCUCUUGCUCUCUAAAAGCAAAGCUCCACCCUUUUAUCUAUACUUCGCAUUUCAACUCCCCAAACUCUGUCUUCCUUGUUCUUUCUCAGCGACGUGGUCACCGUUCCUUGCAUUUCCCGGUAACCAUGUCACAGUCUCUCCAUUUCUCCACUCCAACAACUCGCCCCCCAACCCUCACUU